rnacentral:rRNA from 1 species
UUCUUGGUUGAUCCUGCCGGAGGUCACUGCUAUUGGGAUUCGACUAAGCCAUGCGAGUCGAGAGGGUUCGGCCCUCGGCAGACGGCUCAGUAACACGUGGAUAAUCUGCCCUUAGGUGGAGGAUAAUCUCGGGAAACUGAGGAUAAUACUCCAUAGAUCUAGGAUGCUGGAAUGCACUUAGAUUUAAAGUCCCGGCGCCUAAGGAUGAGUCUGCGGACUAUCAGGUAGUAGUCAGGGUAAAGACCUGACUAGCCUACGAGGGAUACGGGUUGUGAGAGCAAUAACCCGGAGACGAUAUCUGAGACACGAUAUCGGGCCCUACGGGGCGCAGCAGGCGCGAAAACUUCACACUGUGCGAAAGCACGAUGAGGGAAUCCCAAGUGCUUGCUCGUAAGAGUAAGCUGUUUUUAUGUCUAAAAAGCAUAGAGAGUAAGGGCUGGGUAAGACAGGUGCCAGCCGCCGCGGUAA